rnacentral:misc_RNA from 1 species
UGCGGCACGAAGCAUGUUGUUGUUUCCUCCCGAGGUUCCUGUGUUGGCUACCGUUGAAUUGGCAUUUUAGGGUCUUGGGAUGCUCGUUUCAUCGAGGUCUCCUUGCGGGGACGGUGGUGGAUUUAGUGCUUCACAUGCUUUCCAUGUUAGUUUUGUGUUGUGAGAACUGUUGUGGGAGGUAUGCGGUUGUUGUUCUUUUGGAUGCAAUGAGUGCAUGCAACGAACGUGGGUUCGGUUGUCCCGUUUACGUUCUAAAUUUUCGGUUGCCUUAGAAUGACUUGUGCCUAGAUGGUGCUUGUGUUUUCCAUUUGCGGAGACAAAGCGUGCACCGUGAGCAUUGUCGCGAAUGUGUGC